UCAAACUUGGUCAUUUAGAGGAAGUAAAAGUCGUAACAAGGUUUCCGUAGGUGAACCUGCGGAAGGAUCAUUACAAAAUACUUGGGGGCAUGACCGGUUACGGUUUACGCCCCUGCUGGAAGCGCCGGAAGGCGUCUGACAGCGCAACCCUCUGUGAAAUUCCCCCGUUGCUUCGGCAGCUCCUCCCAGGAGUGGUAAGCCUGCCGGUGGCAUCACGGAAAAACUCGUUCUGAAAACUUGCACCUCGGUCUGAACAGCGCAGUCGAAUGACUAUAAAACUUUCAACAACGGAUCUCUUGGUUCCCGCAUCGAUGAAGAACGCAGC
rnacentral:misc_RNA from 1 species